GAGUUUGAUCGUGGCUCAGGACGAACGCUGGCGGCGUGCUUAACACAUGCAAGUCGCACGGGGUAGCAAUACCCAGUGGCGAACGGGUGCGUAACACGUGAGGAACAUACCUUUUGGUGGGGGAUAGCCGGCCCAACGGCCGGGUAAGUACCGCGUACGCCCUUCCGGUGGCAUCACCUGAUGGGGAAAGCAGCAAUGCGCCAAUUGAGUGCCUCGCGGCCUAUCAGCUAGUUGGUGAGGUAACGGCUCACCAAGGCGACGACGGGUAGCUGGUCUGAGAGGAUGAUCAGCCACAUUGGGACUGAGACACGGCCCAGACUCCUACGGGAGGCAGCAGUGGGGAAUCUUGCGCAAU
rnacentral:rRNA from 1 species